CGCUGGGCAGAGAGGAGAGCUGGGCAGAGAGGUGAAGCAUGAGCAGAUGAGCAAUUGAGUAGGAGAGGGGGAGGCAUCAAAGUCAAGAAUGUCAGAAUGUCAAAGGACCCUGGGCCAGGCAGGUAGUAAGCAAAUGGAUAUAGCAGAAGAGAAAUGUGGUGGGUGGGCUGGGAUUCACCAUUAAUUCAUAGGGAGUGAAGCGCCAACAUAGUAUGCCUGAGGUAUAAGGCUGGGAGAGAUGGGAGUGGUGAAGGGAGUUGGGUUUGUGUGGAUAUGAGCAGAGAGCUCCAUGCAGGACAGGUGGAAGGGGCAGAUGGGAUGGAAGAGAAUGAAUGCCUGCAGGGAGGAAGAGAGAAGGGGUGGACGGCAGUACCCUGGGCUCUGUGCAGAGCGAGACUGAGCGCCAUGGUGUCAGGCAUGGCUGAGCAGGCACGGGACAAGACAGAGGGCUGAAGGUCAAAGACCCAGUGCAGAGGUUCCCAAACUUUUGUUGCCCACGCCCCUCCUAAGCAUCUCUAAAAUCCUGAUGCUUGCCCCCGCCCGUGACUUAUAAUUGCCAUUAUUCCAAAUGUAAACUCCUAUUGGCUUGGAGGACACCUCAAAGGCCACUGACUUGGUCUAAAUAAUCUUCCAAAGAACAUGGCACCCAUGAAAGAGAAAAAUGAAAGAACAAAAGGACACUUGAAGUAUGGAGGAAGAAAUAACCCCAACAUGUUUUAAAAAAAUCACAUUUCCAAGUGAUAUCCAAUUGGAACAAAUAAUCUUUUAAAACCUAUCACGGAGAACUGAACUGCAUCAAUACGUCACCACAGAUACUUCUAUGAUGUACUUGUAUCUGAUGCCUCUAGAACCACAAGUAGUGCAAGAAAUGCACCCUUAAUAACUCCUUCUCAAAUCAGGCCCCGUUCUUCCAAAUUGUCCCACUGAGAACGGUUGGAACCACUGACCUAGACUGAUAAAGCAGAGGUAGGGGAAUGAGCGGAACAGGCUCCCCAAGGGCAGCGUCCCAGGAAUGUGCAACAGAGGGGUCCCGGUGGAGAAAGGAAAGCUUACUGGGAACCAUGUUUGCCUCCAGGGAGGAAGUCACACUGCGGGUUCACAGGAUGUGAGCAGAGGGCAUUGGGCAAACAUGCUGAUGCAGGACAGUAUACGGAGGCCAAGGAGACUGCACUGGGCUGUGAAGAAGGUGGGCAAUGACUUAAGGAGCACACAGAACACUACAUGACGGGUUUCAGCCAGGAGAUGCAAAGACUGUGACUGCAGAAAAGUCACGUGGCACAGGAAGGACAGUUGUCUUGCUAGGUAUGCGGUAGACAAGCAAAGCGGCAUAGAUGAUGACCCCGGUGCCAAGAGCUAGGCCAUCAGGUGAGCAGAUUCAAACUGUGGGAGAGCGUAGUAGUAGAGGGGACAAAUUCCAAGGGGCAAAAAGAGUGAGAAAGGACAGGGAGACCAACCAACGCACUGCACCCAAAGCAAAGAAUGGCAAAAAGGGCAACAUGGGUGGCCACUAGGAGAAGGCAGCAAGUCUUAAGCCCCUGAGUGACACCUGAAUGUGAAGGAACCCACCCAGGGGAAGCUCACAGAGUAGUGGGUGAGGCCAAAGAGCAAUGCCGGCCUGGUGGGAUGAGGUCCCAGGAGGAUGAGGUGUGGAGAAGUGGCCCAUGCAAAAGCCUGGGGACCACCGUGGCUGUGUGGAAGGAUCAUGCCAGGGCUCUGGCAGGAGGAAUGAGGUAGAGAAAAGGGAUAAUAUCGUGUGCUGAGAAGGUCCAAGUUGCGGACAGAGGUACUUCCACAAGGCAUGAGAGUCAUAAAGUCAGGGAGGAACGAGUAGCUCAUGUGUGUGCGUGCAUUAGGAUUGUGGUCGUGGCGUGAGGAACAAUAAGAGUGUCUCUUCAGACUGGCAUCUGGACAGGAAUGGGGUGUGUGCAAGAGGACAGUGUCCGGACAUUGUGGGAAUGGUGCCGAUGCUGGGACCUUUGAGGAAAAUGUGUCAAUGGAAGGCUAGGGGCCCAAGGAUGAGUGCGGCCCAGGAGUCAGGAUGGGCUUCCACAGCAGUGAUUCUUCCCUGGGGGGGGUGGGGGAGGGGGGAGGGGAUUUCCCCCCAGGGGGGUGGGGUGGGUGGGCACGACCCCCGAGGGAGGCCGAUCACAACAUCCGAAGUGGAAGCAGCACACUGCUCUAAACCACAAACCCA